UACGGAGGGUGCAAGCGUUAUCCGGAUUCACUGGGUUUAAAGCGCGCGCAGGCGGUCUUCCAAGUCAGUGGUGAAAGCCCGGAGCUCAACUCCGGAAUUGCCAUUGAAACUGUUAGACUUGAGGAUGAGAGAGGUGAGUGGAAUUCCCAGUGUAGAGGUGAAAUUCGUAGAUAUUGGGAAGAACACCGGUGGCGAAGGCGGCUCACUGGCUCAUCACUGACGCUCAGGCGCGAUAGCGUGGGGAUCAAACAGG
rnacentral:rRNA from 1 species